CUUUGAUGAGAGGGCACCACCUGUUGCUUAGGAAUGGGGUAAUGUUUACAGAAAUAUAUUAAUCACGUUACUUUUAUUUGUUGUAACUACUGGUACCAUGAGGGUUUGUUUAUAUUUGAAAAAUCAACCGAUUAACAAGAAAUUUAUAUGUUUCCCCUGUGUACUUCCAUACGACUCAAAACUCUGUUGUAUAACAAUGUAUCAACGUCUUUACCCCACACGAAAUCCAAAUGGCUGAAAUCUUUUAAUGGUACCAUGAACUUUUGAGCAUUAGGCAGCUCCAUGUAUAAUUUUCUUAUGUCCUGCAAGAAUAUAAUAAUAAUAGAAGAGAAAUUCUAUUUGAUUUUGGAGG